UGGCGGAUGCUUACCAUGCAAGUCGCACGGAUGGCUUCGGCCAUGAGUGGCGGACGGGUGAGUAACGCGUAGGAACGUGUCCUGUGGUGGGGGAUAACGCUGGGAAACUGGCGCUAAUACCGCAUAUGGCCUGAGGGUCAAAGCCGCGAGGUGCCAUGGGAGCGGCCUGCGUCCGAUUAGCUUGUUGGUUGGGUAAUGGCUGACCAAGGCGAUGAUCGGUAGCUGGUCUGAGAGGAUGAUCAGCCACACUGGGACUGAGACACGGCCCAGACUCCUACGGGAGGCAGCAGUGGGGAAUAUUGGACAAUGGGCGCAAGCCUGAUCCAGCAAUUCCGCGUGGGUGAAGAAGGUCUUCGGAUUGUAAAGCCCUUUCGGCGGGGACGAUGAUGACGGUACCCGCAGAAGAAGCCCCGGCUAACUUCGUGCCAGCAGCCGCGGUAAU
rnacentral:rRNA from 1 species